GCCUCGGUAGCUUAGUCGGCAGAGCGCGUGCUCUUUAAGCCCGUGGCCCCGGUUCGAGCCCCGCGCGAGGUG
rnacentral:tRNA from 1 species